UUGAGCGCUCCUGUGAAGCACACUAUAGAGACUAGUUUUUUCCCGGGUGCGACCUCAGAAGUAAACUGACGCACCAAAGGAACGACACUCAUUUUGUCUGUCUCUUUAUUUAUUCACAGUGUUUUCACAGAUACACAGUGCUUCACUGCCUGUGUGUCCUUUGUUGCCAGCCCAGAUAUCCCCUAGGUCUGAGGCCGGUAACAAUUGGGGGCUGCGUCCGGGAUUAGCACAUCUCGCCUGGGACGGUUGUCAUAGUAACGUGGGAAUCCUGCACCCAGUGUUUCAGGGAAGACUACUUCGCCAAGUGUCAUCCAGAGAACAACUGCCACAGACAGGACAUCGCGCCAUUGGCUGUCUCCAACGAAGGUUGUCGGGAAACG
ensembl:lncRNA